UACAGAGACUGCAAGCGUUAUUCGGAUUCACUGGGCGUAAAGGGUGCGCAGGCGGUUGGGUGUGUCAGAUGUGAAAUCCCGAGGCUUAACCUCGGAACUGCGUCUGAAACUACUCGACUAGAGUACUGGAGAGGGAAACGGAAUUCACGGUGUAGCAGUGAAAUGCGCAGAUAUCAGGAGGAACACCGGUGGCGAAGGCGGGUCUCUGGGACGGUACUGACGCUGAGACGCGAAAGCGUGGGGAGCGAACAGG
rnacentral:rRNA from 1 species